GGAGUAUGAAACAGCUAAGCGACACUAUGCACAUAUAGACUAUCCAGGACAUGCAGAUUAUGUUAAGAACAUGAUUACGGGUGCUGCACAAAUGGAUGGGGGUAUUCUUGUUGUACCUGCCCCCGAUGGCCCCAUGCCGCAGACCAAGGAACAUAUUCUGCUUGCUCGCCAGGUUGGUGUGCCAUCACUUGUGUGUUUUCUAAAUAAGGUCGAUGCUU